GGCAUUGAUCUAGUGGUAUGAUUCUUGCUUUGGGUGCAAGAGGUCCAGAGUUCAAUUCUCGGAUUGCCC